UCUCUAGUGGCUUAGAAGGUAAAGAGUUUGCCUCCAAUGCAGGAGACCUGGGUUCAAACCCUGGGUUGGGAA
rfam:Ovis aries breed Texel chromosome 7, whole genome shotgun sequence.